ACUCCUACGGGAGGCAGCAGUGGGGAAUAUUGGACAAUGGGCGCAAGCCUGAUCCAGCCAUGCCGCGUGUGUGAAGAAGGCCUUCGGGUUGUAAAGCACUUUCAGCGAGGAGGAAGGGGUAGUUGUUAAUAGCAGCUACUUUUGACGUUACUCGCAGAAGAAGCACCGGCUAACUCUGUGCCAGCAGCCGCGGUAAU
rnacentral:rRNA from 1 species